rnacentral:rRNA from 1 species
CAAUAGCGUAUAUUAACGUUGUUGCAGUUAAAAAGCUCGUAGUUGGAUUUCUGGAGGGAGCGUCGGCCCGUAUUUACGAGUGCGUGACGUCUCUGUCCAUCCUUGCGGGAAGGCACGGCAUUGAUUUGUUGUGUCGGAUCGCAUCAUUUACUGUGAAAAAAUUAGAGUGUUCAAAGCAGGCUUUCGCUUGAAUACAUUAGCAUGGAAUAAUAAGAUAGGACUUUGGUGCUAUUUUGUUGGUUGAGUCUAAAGUAAUGAUUAAUAGGGAUAGUUGGGGGCACCUGUAUUGCGUUGUCAGAGGUGAAAUUCUUGGAUUUACGCAAGACAAACAGCUGCGAAAGCGUCUGCCAAGGAUGUUUUCAUUAA